rnacentral:tRNA from 1 species
GCGCCCGUAGCUCAGUGGAUUAGAGCGUCCGGCUACGGACCGGAAGGUCGGGGGUUCGAAUCCCUCCGGGCGUACCA